CAUAUCAAUAAGCGGAGGAAAAGAAACUAACAAGGAUUCCCCUAGUAACUGCGAGUGAAGCGGGAAAAGCUCAAAUUUAAAAUCUGGUGGUCUUUGGCCAUCCGAGUUGUAAUCUAGAGAAGUGUUAUCCGCGCUGGACCGUGUACAAGUCCCCUGGAAUGGGGCGUCAUAGAGGGUGAGAAUCCCGUCUUUGACACGGACUACCAGGGCUUUGUGAUGCACUCUCAAAGAGUCGAGUUGUUUGGGAAUGCAGCUCAAAAUGGGUGGUAAAUUCCAUCUAAAGCUAAAUAUUGGCGAGAGACCGAUAGCGAACAAGUACCGUGAGGGAAAGAUGAAAAGAACUUUGGAAAGAGAGUUAAACAGUACGUGAAAUUGUUGAAAGGGAAACGCUUGAAGUCAGUCGCGUCUGCCAGGGAUCAACCUUACUUUUGUGAGGCGUACUUCCUGGUUGAUGGGUCAGCAUCAGUUUUGGUCGCUGGAUAAAGGUCAGAGAAAUGUGGCACCUUCGGGUGUGUUAUAGUCUUUGAUCAGAUACAGUGGCUGGGACUGAGGAACUCAGCGCCGCAAGGCUGUCUUAGGAUGCUGGCAAAAUGGCUUUAAUCGACCCGUCUUGAAACACGGACCAAGGAGUCUAACAUGCCUGCGA
rnacentral:rRNA from 1 species